rnacentral:sRNA from 1 species
GAGCGCCACUUAUCGCUGAAAACGCAACGUCCUGUUGCAUCAGCGAUAUGACCUACAUCGUGUAGG